AUGUUGCGUUAGGGAUAGUAGUGGAAAUCCUUUUUUUGGGUGGGUGCGGGCUUUUUCUGCCUGCACCCACCCAAAAAAAGAUUGCAACGAAUAGCCCGACCCUUG
rfam:Flavobacterium branchiophilum FL-15, complete genome.